rnacentral:rRNA from 1 species
CACUCCUACGGGAGGCAGCAGUGGGGAAUUUUGGACAAUGGGCGAAAGCCUGAUCCAGCAAUGCCGCGUGUGUGAAGAAGGCCUUCGGGUUGUAAAGCACUUUUGUCCGGAAAGAAAUCCUUGGCUCUAAUACAGUCGGGGGAUGACGGUACCGGAAGAAUAAGCACCGGCUAACUACGUGCCAGCAGCCGCGGUAAUACGUAGGGUGCGAGCGUUAAUCGGAAUUACUGGGCGUAAAGCGUGCGCAGGCGGUUUGCUAAGACCGAUGUGAAAUCCCCGGGCUCAACCUGGGAACUGCAUUGGUGACUGGCAGGCUAGAGUAUGGCAGAGGGGGGUAGAAUUCCACGUGUAGCAGUGAAAUGCGUAGAGAUGUGGAGGAAUACCGAUGGCGAAGGCAGCCCCCUGGGCCAAUACUGACGCUCAUGCACGAAAGCGUGGGGAGCAAACAGGAUUAGAAACCCGAGUAGUCCCAU